GUCCUUUAGAUUUUAAUUUAAGGUCUGAUCUGCUCAAUGAUAAUUAAAUAGCCGCAGUAUUUUGACUGUGCGAAGGUAGCAUAAUAAUUAGUUUUUUUAUUGAAAGCUGGAAUGAAUGAUUUGACGAAGGAUUGACUGUCUCUUUAAAAUUUAUUUUGAAUUUAACUUUUAAGUGAAAAGGCUUAACUUAUUUUUAAAGACGAGAAGACCCUAUAGAGUUUAACAUAUUUAUUUCAUAGAAUUAUUUGGAAUUUAUUAAUUUUCUGAUUAGUUUGUUUGGUUGGGGUGAUUGGAAGAUUGGAUAAACUCUUCUAUGCUUUUCUACUAAUUAGUAAUCUUUUUUUCUAUAAUUUUUAAGUUUAAAUUAAAUUACCUUAGGGAUAACAGCGUUAUUUUCCUUUAGAGUCCUUAUCAAUGGGAAAGUUUGCGACCUCGAUGUUGGAUUAAAAUUUAAGCUAGGCGCAGUAGCUUAUGCAAUUAAGUCUGUUCGACUUUUGAAAUUUUACAUGAUCUGAGUUUAAACCGGUGUGAGCCAGGUUGGUUUCUAUCUUGAAUUAUUUUCAAUUUUUUAGUACGAAAGGACCAAAUUUUGAAUAUAUUAUUUUUAUUUUGAUUAAAAUUGUUACUUUGGCAGAUUAGUGCGAUUGAUUUAGGAUCUUUAUAUGUAUUAUUUACAGGUAAUAUUUGUUUCAUUUUGAUAUUUUUUCAUUAUUAAUUGUUGUUUUUGUCAUGUUUAUUUGUGUUUUAGUUGGUGUUGCCUUUUUAACUUUAUUAGAACGCAAGGUGUU
rnacentral:rRNA from 1 species